rnacentral:lncRNA from 1 species
ACCUAUUGGAUGACUUUGCUUGCAAGAAGGCCACCAAGGAUCUUGGAUAUUUCAUUGCUGUAACAACUCUGGAGAGCAUUGGGGACGGCAAAGUUAGACAGAACACAGGGGAUGUGCUUUUCCCUGUUGUCUUCAGUGGCAUCACCUUCAAGAUGUUCAGGGGAGAGAUUUUGGAAGGGGUUGUACACAAGAUACUGAAACAUGGAGUUUUCUUGAGGUGUGGGCCAGUCCAAAACAUCUAUCUGUCUCACCUAAAAAUGCCUGACUAUCAUUAUGUGCCUGGGGAAAAUGCUAUCUUCAUGAAUGACAAGCACUCGAAGAUUGAGAAGGAUGUUGUUGUUCGAUUCAUAGUGAUUGGAACAAAGUGGCUGGAGGCAGAGAGAGAAUUUCAGGCAUUGGUGAGUUUGGAAGGUGACUACUUAGGACCAGUUUCUUGAACAUAACUUUUGUUCACCUUUGUAUGUAUUUGGAUGCACUUCUUACCAUUUUCUUAAGAACUUGUUGAUUUGAGAAUGUUGGAUGUUAAAUUGUUCGACUAGCUAUUGUAAAUUCAGUUGUUGAAGUCUACAGUUAACUUAUGAUAUAUACUUGGUAUAGCAUUUGAAAACUCCUGCCUUGUGUGUGUGUGUGUGUGUUUUUUUUUAGCUAAUAUUGAUGUUUGGACUAUGUAUAAUUGGUUAGCACACGACAUGAUCACAAUUUGCUAUCUCCUCUCUGUAUCAAUUGGAAAAAUACUCUGUUUAAGAGGAUAGUCCAUUUUUCUUACUAUCUACUUUUGCCCUAACUGCACUUUUCUACCCCUGGGGAUGGCAUGGAUCUCGUUCACCUUGGUAUACUUCGUUGAGUGCUGGGAAUUGGUCUAACUCUCAUUGAUUGACAAUGAGGCUGACCACUCAAAAUGGUAUCUACAACUUUUUUUGAACAUCCAAAUGCUUAGCUCUUUUGCAAAGCACUCCAUGAGCUAACAAAUUCCCCAGUCUUAUCCUUUAGAGAAAGCUUUGGUAGGGGAUCCUGUUGAGCAGUAAGGCCAAGAGAAACUUGUCGCAGGGUAGGCCGAAAUUGAGGAUUGCCAUGCAAGCAUGCGAUAGCCAGCUUGGUAGUCGAGACCAUUUGAGGAUUGCCAUCCAAUGACCAUUUGGCAUGGAUGGUGAUGAUGAUGAAGAUGAGAAAUUCGAAAUAAGAUAACCCAGAUGCCUUCCCAUUAUUAUCUCUAGUGUUAGCAUGCAGAAACUACAAACAUCCCAUUUUUCAGUCACUCUGAAUGUGUAAGCUAACUCUGCAAAGAGAAGUAGAAUUAUCCAGCCCUUUUUGGAUACAAUAGCUAAGAUCAGAAGCUAAAAUUAUAUUGUUUUUUGGUGUUGAAUAAUUACAAACCUAGAGCUGUGCACCCGAAAGCUAAAAAUUUAACUCUUUGAGAAUUUUUAUUUUAUUUAUAGAAUUUUGAAGUAAUGUUUUAGUCACUAAUGUUUAUAAAAGUUAAUGUUUAGGUUAUUCAGUUAUCGAAAAUUAAUAGUUGUUUAAAGUGGUUUUUUCAUUUCAAUUGAUUUCGAUCAAGCAAAUAAUAUCACGUGACAGAUGAAUUGAUAUGAAUAUAUUACAUGAUUAAGAUUAAUUGACAUGAAGAAACUUAUAUCAACACAGUCUUUAAAAAUUAAUGAUUGGAUUGAGUGAUGAAAAUAUUAUUUUUUAUUAUGUGAUUUGUUUAAAACUAGUGAUCAAAUGGAUAAUUUUUCUUUAAAAAUAAAUAAUUUAAGUAAAAAAUACCUAAAAAUGGAGAGUUUCGACAAUAAAACAAUUCAACUAUAGAUAAAAGAAGGAGAACCCCGCGCCAGAUGACUUCAUUUCAUCUUUCAAAAGCAAGCUAAGUUUACAGGCAGCUUAUAACGAAAUUGGUCGUUCCAGCGUCAAUCUGGUGUCCCAAUUAAAAUAUUAAUUCCUAACUAAUUAGACCAAUUGAUAUUCACAGUGACAAAAUUCUUGGAAGAAAAGGUAAAUUGAUAAGCAAAAAGGCAUACCUAAUGUUAUUAUAUAUUCUCAACCUCCAAUUAUUAGCAUCUCAGCCUGGAACUCCACCAAACAAUUCUCCCAACUCUAUCAUUGAGAAAGGCUUGGGCAAUUGAGGUGAUGGAUGGGUCAAGGCUUGAGCAACCUGUCCCAUGGUUGGCCGAAAUUUAGGGUUGCCAUUCACGCAUGCAAAUGCUAGUUUUGUAGCAAAGACAACAUCCUUUGCUACUUGUCUUACGAGUGGUGAGAGACGUUGGUCUAUCACGCCUUGUAGUAAAAUUUUUUGGUCGUUUGCUUCCGGUGCCGACAGUGAUGAGGACAAACAUGAAAUCAGAUCACCUGGAUGCCUCCCCAUAAGAAUUUCCAUUGUUAGCACCCCAAAACUGUAGACAUCGCAUUUCUCAUCUACUUUCAUCAUAUAAGCUAACUCUGCAUAAGGAAAUCCACGCAUACAUUAUUUAGGUAGUACUAACAAGCAUACUAUAUACCAUUACCAUGGCAUAGAUUAUAUGUUCCACUGCUUCCAUUUUUUUUUAAGAAGAAAGAAACUACUAUAAAUUUAAUGAAUGUUUUAGUAGAUGAUACUAUGACCAAAUUACACAUGUACCUGGAGCUGUGUACCCGAUGGUGCCUGCAAAUGAGGUCCAGUUGGAGGAGUCUGGAUUUAAAAGCCUAGCUGUGCCAAAAUCUGAGACAUGAGCCUCAUAGUCGAAAUCCAAGAGAACAUUGUUGCUGGAAAUGUCUCGAUGAAUUAUAGGUGGUGAAUGGUCGUGAUGCAUAUAAGACAAAGCGUUGGCCAAUCCUUUGACAACAUUGAGCCUCUUAAUCCAAUCCAAUUCUGCUGCCUCUUCAUUGUUGCUUAAGAUCAUUCUCAAACUUCCCCUUUCCAUAAACUCAUAAACCAGAAAUGAGUGCUUUGAAUGUGAACAAAAACCAUGUAAUUUCACAACAUUACGAUGCCUUAUUUCUGUUAAAGCAUGAAUCUCACUUUCAAAGGCUUUCAAGUUGUUGAUAAGCAUGCUAUCUUCAUGCUGGUGAAGUUUCUUGACAGCAACCACCUGACCCAUUGGCAGCACAGCCUUAUAAACAUUUCCAUAUCUUCCUGAACCAAUGCAAUAGUUGGAGCUGAAAUCUUCUGUGGCUUCAAUAAUUUUCUCAUAGAGUAUUCUUCCAUCAAAUCCCAAUACUGUGAAAAUAUCUCCAAGUUGUGCCUCCCUUGACUCAGAUUUUUUGUUUCGAAUCUUUUGGCGAAGAAUAAGGAAACCUCCAGCCAAGGUAAAUAUCAGAAGCGGAAUACCAAAGGGUAAAAGUACAACUAAAAUGGUGACUGUAGUGCGUUUUUUAUGACCCAUUUUGUUGCUAGUGAUAGAAGCACAAGGCAUUAAUCCAGUGGCAUUACCACAGAGGCCCUUAUUGUUUCUUAAGCCAUCAAAUGAAGCCUCAUGAAAUGCCUUAAUGUUGGGAAUGGGGCCUUCUAAUUGAUUGUAAGAGAUAUUCACAAACGUCAAGCUUUGCAAAUAAUGGAAAUCAAUCGGGAUUGAACCACGGAGCAUAUUGUGAGAAAGAUCCAAUAUUUCCAAGGUGUGUAAUUUUCCAAGCUGUUGUGGUAUCACUCCAACAAGCAAAUUUUGACUCAAAUCUAGACUUCGCAAACCAUAUAUGUAGCUUAAUGAAAAAGGAAUGCUUUCUCCAAGUUUAUUCCUGCUCAAAUUCAAGCUCAAAAACUUUGAGCACUCUCCAAGUUGAUUAGGAAUUGGUCCACUUAAAUCAUUUGAUGCCAAGUUUAGAUGUUCUAGAUUUGAAAGAACUCCAAUCUCUAAUGGAAUUUUGCCUGAAAGUUGGUUACCACUUAGCAAAAGACGAAACAUCAAUGAUAAAGAUCCCAAGUCCUUGGGAAUCUCACCGAUUAGAUGAUUGAAAGAGAGAUCGAGUUCCUGUAAUUGAGUUGCAUGUUCCAACUCAGGUGGUAUCUUUCCAGAAAUAUUGUUAUUGGAGAUUUGUAGGCUUGUCAGAUUAUGGCAUUGCCCCCACUUUGGAGAAAGUUCACCAUAAAACCAGUUAUUGCUUAAUGCAAUAUAAUUCAAAUUUGGAUAUACACCAAAAGCUUCUGAUAUAUUUCCUGUCAAGUGAUUCCCUUCAAGCCUAACUCUGUAUAAACUUUUGCAGUCUCUCAAACUUGUUGGGAUCUGACCCGUCAAAUUGUUGUUGAUAACUGAAAUAUUAACGAGUAAUCCAUUGCUGCAUAAAUUUUCAGGUAAUUGACCACUGAGAUGGUUAUGUCCUAAUUGCAAUGAUUCCAAAUGAGUAAGAUUGCUAAAUGUUGGAGGAAUGGACCCUGACAAAUUAUUGUAGAUAAGGAAUAAUACAGUAAGCUUUGUCAAGUUUCCUAUUGAAGCAGGGAUUGAACCAGAGAAAUUAUUCUUAGCGAGCACAAGUACGGAGAGAGAUUUAAGCAUUCCAACUUCUGGAGGUAUCGAUCCAGAAAACAUAUUGCCAUUGAGGUUAAGAUAGGAUAAGCUGGUCAAGUUUCCUAUGGAAGCAGGAAUGACACCUGUGAGAUUAUUAGUUGACAACUGCAAAUCGGACAAAGAUCCAAGUUGUCCUAUUUCGCUCGGGAUAGAACCAGAGAGCUCAUUCCGAUGUAGAUAAAGCUGCACCAACUUGGUUAAAUUUCCAAUGGAUUCUGGGAUAGGACCACUUAGGCUGUUAUUUGAAAAAUCAAGAUAGAGGAGAGACCUCAACAUUCCUACUUCUCCUGGUAUACGGCCAGUGAGUCUGUUGCUCCCAAGGUGAAGCUUGGUUAAAUUAUGCAAGCUUCCAAUAGAGGCAGGGAUUGGACCACUUAGAUAGUUAUGAUUGAAAUAGAUCUCAGAAACUGAACUCAGCCUUCCUAUUUCUUGUGGAAUGGAACCACUGAUCUUAUUUCCUACUAAAGAAACCCACUGAAGACUUUUCAAUAAACAAAUUUCAGAUGGAAUAUUCCCUGAAAAAUUGUUGGAUGACAAGUCAAGGAAGAUGAGCUUGGAAAGGUUUCCAAUGUGUGAGGGAAUGGGCCCAUACAGUGAGUUAUUUUGAAGGUUAAGCGUCAUCAGGUUAGGGAAGAAAGCGAAAUUAAGAGUAUCAAGUGUACCUCUGAAGCCAUAAUUUGGAAGGCUUAGAUUGGUGAUGCUUCCAGCCUUGUCGCAAGUGAUUCCGACCCAGUUGCAGUGGGUGUCUCCAAGCCACGAAGAGAGCAAAGUUUGGCUUUUGUUGUCAAGGCUAGCUUUCCAUUUUAGAAGAGUUUCUGCUUCUUUAGCUGCUGCAGCAGCUGCUAAAGAGGUAAAACCAUUGGAGGACUGAGGCGGCACAAGCAUGAGAAAGAACAGGGCCUGGAAUGGUAUUAAGAAAGAAGCCAUGAUUUCCACAGUUGAAAGGAUUUUGAUUAACUGUUGUAAAUUAGUUUGGCUAGAACGGCCAGGUAUUUAUGCAAAAUAUAGAGCAUUGAUCAGUGAGUGGCCAUGGAACAUCCACAUCAAGUAGAAUAAUUAAAUUAUAUUCUAAUUCAAUUAGAUGUUAAUUAAUUUAAAUUUAUCUUUAAUUCAAUUAUAUAUUUAAUUUUUUAUGGAUAUGUUGAAUUAUGUUUAGUUAAAACAAGUCAAUGAUUCACAAAAUAUGCAAUGCAGUAGCUGCUGCUUGGUUAGAGCUUUAAGACAUUUUUAAUCGUUUGCAGCUUGAAUGACUAAAAAUAUGCUAAAUUGAUUAUAUAAUUAUUAAAAGAAGUUCAACAUAAAUUGAUUCCUUUGCAGCAAAUGUACACGGGUCAGCUGGGAUAGAAACUCUUUCAUUUCUGCGUGAAAUGUACACUACCUUCCUUGGCAGCUAAGGAGAUCUGUCAGGAUGUAAGAAUGCCGUUGAACGAGUUAAAGCAUUGAUGGAAUAUAAUGUGGGUCUUUUUGACUUUUUGUUAACCACGUCUCCUCUUCUUUGUAUGAAAUAUCCAUUCAUCUUGCUUUUCCCAAAAAAAAAAAAAAAUUAUAAUAAUAAAGUGAGCUAAGUGAAAUUGCAAAUGAAUUGUUUUAUCAUUAUUCUAGUUUAUAUUGGACCUUACAAUGCUGGAAAACUGGCUCAAAUUCAACGAACAUUGAUAGCUUUAAUCAUACGACAAAUAUUUGACCACCACAAAUUACAUAAAAAAUAAAAUAUCUCAAAUACAUGAUCUUUAAAAUGAUAAGUCACCCCAAAUUGUCAAGCACGGUGUUGAGUUGGAGAUUCUUAAAAGUAAGGAAACCAUUUUCACGUGAAGACGUACAGUCUUGAUAAAGACAAUAGAGAAAAAGGAAACACCUUUUUCCAUCAGCUUUAAUUUGUUUUAAUUUUUCCUGGAGACAUGAGAUUCUUAAUGUUGUAAUGUGAAACACCUUUAUUACUAAAAAGGAAACCUAAAUUAAUUAAAACAUCACAUGACAAAUACAAAGUUAGAACAAUGUUGUUGAUUUUACACAUGCAAGUAUACAUAUCAAAUAAGUAAUAUAAACAGUAAAUCUAGAUUAUUGUUCGCGCAAAGAUUUACUUCUAAAGUUUCACUAAGUACUAAAAUUAUAUAACAAAUUAAUUUUAUUUAAGCUAAUCGAAAAUUGAGAAAAUAAUCAAAGUCAAAAUUAAAAAUAAACAAUAAAUUAACUACCAAAAACUAAUUAUGUUGAGAAAAGUAGUAGAUUGAAAACCUAGGGUCAUGGAUUCAUUCAACACUUUAUAUAAUAUAAGCUUUUCUUGUUAUUUAUCUUUCCUGAGUAGUUUUACUAAUAUAGAAUCCAAAGCUAUGGACAAAUCUCUGUUGAGAUAUUUGUACAAAUAUCUAACUUAAUUAGUUCACUAUAUGUUAAUAGAAAUCAAUUAAAUUAAGUUCAUUAAGCAAGUAUUUAAUCUGACUACAUAUGACAAUUGGCAUAUGUUUACCUGAAUCGUGAAUUAGAUUACUUAAGUGACAUGAAUAUACAUUAUUCAAAUCUUAAUUCAACCCAAAAUCUCUCAAUCAAGUUUCAAUUAGAUUCGCAAAUCAAUUAAUUGUUGAUCAGGUAAUUAAAGGCAUUAAGAAUAGAUUUGAAUAAGUAAAACGAUACUCAUUCAUGAUAAAUAAUAGAAAAAUAAGUUUUCAGGCUAUAUGUUGAAAUCCAUCAUAAUCCUAGAUAAGCAAAUUAGCUCAUAAUAUCUAAAUAAAACACUAUCUAAAAAAAUUUAGCCAUGAAUUCAAAACAAGAAAGUAGGAAUAACACAAAAGGAGAUAACUAAAUAAUGUCAAAGCCUAGUUGAUUGCGAAUCUCUCUCAAUUGCUCUUGAAUUCUUGAUUGAUUCAUAGCUCCAAUUCUCUAGAAAAUUAAAGCUGUUGUCGUCUCCUCCUCUGAAUGCUCUAAAAAAGACUCUUAAAUAUGUGCAAGGUGCCAUACUUUUCAAUUUUUUUUGUUGCAGUUUUAAUUUUGAAAACUGUGGUGGAGCCAUGGCCUUGAAUUCUUAGCGUCGCGGUGUCGUAACAAGCCUUGGUAGCACCGCAACGCUCCUCUGUUGGGGCCACGGCGGUUUUCUCUCUACCGUUUGUAUGGUGCACCCUUCCAACUCAGUGCCACAGCCAUGGUUCUCCCAACGCUGCGGUGGUAGAUACCUCAGUGUCGCGGCCAUGAGUAACUUAGAGCCGCAGCCUCAGUCACCUUGUUGCCUUAUGUACAGAAUUACAUCUAUUUAUUAACUUCGAAUGUGAUUUUCACCUAGAUCUGGUCCGAACUGGGCAAAGUGGUCAAUAUGAAAGUUGUAGCCCAUUUUCUUAGCUUUCUAAUGAAUUAAAAAUGACAUCAAUUGGACUUUUGUAACUCAAGUUACCUUUAAAUUACUGCAACAUAUGUGAGUAACACUUUCACCAUACUUAUGCUAUCAUAACUUAAGUUCAUCUUAUUCAUCACAUAUCCUACACAAAACCAUGAGAGAAAUCAACAUUAACUCUUCUUAAAAUAAAUUAAAAACAAAAUAAAGUAAAAUUAAACUAACAUAACUUAAUUUAACUAUUUAACAAGUAAUAUAACUUACAUUAGAAAAACGCUUAAAAUAUUAAAAUUCGAGCCUAAAACUCAAAGAUCUAGUGACUAAAGUCUUCAAAAUGUUUUAAAAAUAACUCUAUAUAGCACAGUUAUCAGAACAAUGAUUGUUAUCCCUCGUUUAAAAUAAUUGAGGUUCAAAGUUCAUACAAAAUUAAUUUAAGAUGAAAGAAAACAUUACAUGAUACACCCCAAUUAAUAUUAAGUACUACUUUUUUCCCAAUAUUUAUACUAUGAAAUAUGUCACGCGAUGUGGGUCGAUUUUGUAAUAUUUGAUAUUAGAGUAUUUCUCUAUUUAUUUUUAAUAUUUUAAGUUGUCAUCGGUACUUAAAUUCAAAUUUGAGACUUUUAAAUGUCCCUUUUAAAGUGGAAAAUUGAUUUUGACCUCAAUUCUCUCAAUUGAAUUCAUUAAAAUGCAUGUUCUACAUUUAUGAAGAACAUUACCAUACUUAAAUAUAGAAAACAAUUAAAUAUUCUCUUUGAACCAUUUUAGGAGAUAAUAAAUAUGUAGAGCAUUCCAAUAGUGAAAACUAAAAAGAUGGAAAUACUAUUUUUCUUUUUCAACCUAUUUUCAGAUUUUAUUAGAUGGGAUUUUUAAAAAUGGUUCACAUAAUUGUUUUUCUCACACAUAAUUCAUAUAUUUUAUUUUAAAAAUGGUCUUGACUUACUAUGAUUAAACAUGUUUAAGGAAAGUAUCAAUGCUUUAAUGUCACGUUUACAAGAAGAGAAAUGUAUAUUGAAUUGUGUUGUUAUACAAGGAAAAUGGAGUAUGUUUAUAUAAGAGAUUCUCAACAAUUUAGGAGAGAAUCGUAUAUAUGUUCCACAGACAUAUUUAAUUAAAUUAUAUUUAUUAUUAAAAUAUUAUAAAAUCUUUUUAUAUCUAUUUUUUAAUAAUUUUAAAUAAAUAAUAAAAUUAAAAUUAAACACAAUAUUCAACUUCUCUUGUUUAUCUGUUUGUCAAUUUUCUCAUUCUCAUCACUCAUCCCUAUAUUUUACCUUAUUACAUUAUAUCAAGCUUCCUUUUUUUUUUCAACUAUUUUUAAAUAAUAAUUAACACUAUAUUAAAAGAAAAGUCUCAUUCCUAUUAACUUAAUUUCUAUGAUAGUUAGCACUACUUCUAUAUUAUAAGUUUUUGUUGUGUUCGCAAUUACAAAAUUUUCGUUGUUUUCUUUUUUUCUCAUCUCUUUUUUCUUUUAUUACAAAAUUAAUUAUGAGAUUUAAUUAGUUUAAAAUAUUUUUAAUUAUUAUCAAAUUAAACUUUAAUUAAAUUAUAUUCUAAUUCCAUUAGACAUUAAAUAUUUUAAAGUUGUCUUUAAUUCAAUUAUAUAUUAAUUAAAAUUUGAUUCACAAUGGAUUUUGCUUUUGUGGAUAUUUAUGUGAUAUCCAUUUCAUAUCAAAUUUGAAUGUGAUUGUUGAAAUUUAUAUAAUAAUCUAAUUAAUCAGUAGUAACAAUUUGAGUUUAAACUUUUGAGAAUCACGGUUUAGACUUAAAAAAGUAUUGGAUAAGUGAUGUUUGGACUUAGAUCAUUAUAAAUACUAGAUAAAAAGCCUGGUUAGUACGGAUGUUUUUAUUAUUUUUGUAGUUUGUACUUUGUAGAAAUCCAUCUUUGAAAGUACAUGUGUCAAUUUAUGAAUUUAAGGCAGUAGAGAUGUGAACUAGUUAACUCAUAAGUUGACACAUGUACUUUCAAACAUAUCUAAGAUAUGUUGUCCACAUCAUUUUCCCUUCCUCAAUGAAUUUUGAUAAUGACAAUACAAUUAUAAAUGUACAGAUUGUUAGAAAUUUUGAUGUAAAGGACGAAUUUAUUAAUUAUUUUACUUGAUUUACGUGAAAAGAAAAAAGAUUUGCAUGUUCAAAUAGUCCAAAAAUGUUUAGUCUACAAAUCUCUCUACACUUGGAAAAGCUUUAUCAAUGGUAUCCGUUAUUACCAUGUGAUAAUGACUUGCCCAAAAAAGGAUAGAAAUAAGUUAAUUAGUAUAGAAUCCACAUCCUUUGCUCCUAUUUUCUUGUCGCCUAGAGAUGUUGCCCACUCUUUGGCAUCUGUCACAUUGCACAGCAAACUUAUAAGCAUCUCUAAACAAAGUAGGCCAAUACAAACCUGAUUGGAGAACUUUGGCAGCAGUCCUCCAAAAUGCCCACCAUAAUAUGAAGAAUGGCAAUGAUGAAGCACGCUUUGAACUUCUUCUUCUGGAACACAUUUUCUCAGAAUUUGAUCAUUACACUGCUUAAACAAGAAAGGAUUAUUCCACACAUAAGAUUUAACAUCAUGCAAAAACUUCUUUUUCUGGUGAAAAUUUAAAUAAGAGGGAAUGAUAUUGCUCACCAGAUAAUUUACAAAGUCCGCAUACCAAGGGGUUGAGCUCUUACUCACUUGAAAGAUUUGCUCAUCCGGGAAGGUCUCCCUGAUGACGGUUUACUCCUUCCCUUGAUGUUCAGGCUCCAAUCUCGAUAGGUGGUCUGCUACUUGAUUUUCUGUUCCCUUUUUAUCACGGAUCUCUAAAUCAAACUCUUGUAGCAGCAGGAUCCAUCUAAUCAACCUUAGCUUGGCAUCUUUUUUGGCAAUCAAAUACUUAAUGGCAGAAUGAUCAGUAUACACAAUGACCUUAGUGCCAACCAAAUAAGAACGAAACUUAUCAAAUGCAAAAACUACAGCUAACAGUUCUUUUGGGGCUCCCAACUGCACUGUGUUGUGGUGCCCAACAGCAAGCCUACUGAAUCUGCUCAGCAUGUUUUGUUUUAGAUGUUUCAAUUGGGUGUGAAGGAAAUGCCAUAAUUUCCUUUGAUAUUAUCUUUUUAUUAUUGCUUUAUGUUUGAUUCCAGGUUUGAUGCUAUCUGUUUUUGUGGAGUUGUGCAUUAUUGAUUAUGUGAAAUGGGAUGUGAAAUGGGCAUUAUAGGGUUAUGUUCAUUACAAUGUGGUAAAUUUGUAGGUGGUUAAAAUGUGAUCUCUCUCAAUCUUUUGUGUUUGGAGUGUUGAAAUUGGGUUUUGACAUAUUUGCUCUCAGGAUAGGUCUAAACUAACCAUAGGUACCUUUGUCAAUUUUUCAUUUCUUCAAGAUUGAUAUACUGUUUCUUCUUAUUCUAAGGACAUGGAUUAGUUGGGAAUUAUUUUAUUUUCAAUUUCCGUGUUCAGGAGCAGCAUGUUUCUCAAGGUGCAGUUGCCAUGGAAUGUCAUAAUUCCUGCUGACGGCUUGGGUGCCGAAGGCUUGAUGCUCCAAAAGGCUAUAGUGGUACGCCUAUUGGAUGACUUUGCUUGCAAGAAGGCCACCAAGGAUCUUGGAUAUUUCAUUGCUGUAACAACUCUGGAGAGCAUUGGGGACGGAAAAGUUAGACAGAACACAGGGGAUGUGCCUUUCCCUGUUGUCUUCAGUGGAAUCACCUUCAAGAUGUUCAGGGGAGAGAUUUUGGAAGGGGUUGUACACAAGAUACUGAAACAUGGAGUUUUCUUGAGGUGUGGGCCAGUCCAAAACAUCUAUCUGUCUCACCUAAAAAUGCCUGACUAUCAUUAUGUGCCCG